CACCGCUCCGUAUCUAACCAUUCAUCCCUUCCUCACUCCGUUUUUUCGGGAUCUAGAAAAACAUCGUCAAAUUCCAGUCAGCAGCGGAUGAGCCUCUCAGAUCCAUCGAUGGCGGCGGACUCCGACUGGCCACGGCGCCUCGCUCCGAUGGCCAAAGCGACGGGCUAGGAAGAGGUGGGCGGUAGAUCAUGUCGUCGUUGCGUCGUCAUCGUUGUUCUUCGUCGACAUCCUCGUCACCCUCAUCGAGGUCCACUGCCGUCGCCGGGCCUCCUACCGCCCGGCUUCCUCCUCCGGCCUCGCUAGGGGAUCUCGUCACUGGUGCCCUCCCCAUCCUCAGGCUCGUCGUCAUGGGACUGCGCCGCCGCGGUCCCCGUCGCGGCACCCCCGACUCCCUUCGGCUCCUAGGCCGCCGCCACCUCCACUGCUACCUCGGCUUCCUCCGACCAACACUCACCUACCAGCGGCUCGAUCUGCGGGGCUCCCAUGGCGAUAGAGGGCCUUUGGGCCUGCAUCCGCCGCUGUUUUUCCACCAUUGGUUGCCCGCCAUGCUGGAGCAGCAAGAUGGGAUGGAUCUGACGGGGAGGAAGGAUUUAUUUCUUUGAUCCGCAUCCAAAGUCAGCCAUGUGGAGAGCGUCGUCGGUGACCAUGAUGCGAGGCGGCGGCGUGGGUACCGGUUUCAGGUGCCCGUAGUGGAGUCCAUCACCCCGCAUCUGGCGGAGGAUCUACCAUGGUGGUGAAGCCAUGGGCGCAUGCCCCGUCAUCACCCCAGCAUGACCACUUCCUCCAAGAAUCUACCAUGGCUGCACGCAAGGAGGCUGCCCACGGCUUCACCUCCGCUGCCGCCUGGCCGGAUGCCAGAAUCGGCGGGCGUCGCUGUCGAAGGCAGGCUUCAAUUCUCCCGGCGAGGCUUCUCCAUCAUUUUGUGAUUGUCAGCCUUGCUCUCCUAUGUUCCUGCUUUCUACUUGUCGGGCUUGUAAGCACUUCAUUUUUGUGCUCGCCCUUUCAGCACCAUCUCAAGACCGGCGGCGACCUCGCCGAGAGAGCAGUAGGCCGCUGUUCCUCCAAUGUUCAAAGAAUGUUUUCCUGCAUAUAUAUAUUUUGGGUUCGUUUGAUGUGUAAAUUUUAUAUCCGUACAACGAUUCAUUA